rnacentral:rRNA from 1 species
AGUGAACGCUGGCGGUAGGCCUAACACAUGCCAGUCGAACGGCAGCACAGUAAGAGCUUGCUCUUACGGGUGGCGAGUGGCGGACGGGUGAGGAAUACAUCGGGAUCUACUUUUUCGUGGGGGAUAACGUAGGGAAACCUACGCUAAUACCGCAUACGACCUACGGGUGAAAGCAGGGGAUCUUCGGACCUUGCGCGAUUGAAUGAGCCGAUGUCGGACUAGCUAGUUGGCGGGGUAAAGGCCCACCAAGGCGACGAUCCGUAGCUGGUCUGAGGGGAUGAUCAGCCACACUGGAACUGAGACACGGUCCAGACUCCUACGGGAGGCAGCAGUGGGGAAUAUUGGACAAUGGGCGCAAGCCUGAUCCAGCCAUACCGCGUGGGUGAAGAAGGCCUUCGGGUUGUAAAGCCCUUUUGUUGGGAAAGAAAAGCAGCAGGUUAAUACCCCGCUGUUCUGACGGUACCCAAAGAAUAAGCACCGGCUAACUUCGUG